UACGUAGGGUGCAAGCGUUUGUCCGGAAUUAUUGGGCGUAAAGAGCUCGUAGGCGGUCUGUCGCGUCGGCUGUGAAAACCCGUGGCUCAACCACGGGCCUGCAGUCGAUACGGGCAGACUAGAGUGCGGUAGGGGAGACUGGAAUUCCUGGUGUAGCGGUGAAAAUGCGCAGAUAUCAGGAGGAACACCGGUGGCGAAGGCGGGUCUCUGGGCCGUAACUGACGCUGAGGAGCGAAAGCGUGGGGAGCGAACAGG
rnacentral:rRNA from 1 species